CCCCGCAAUAGCUGCCUAUGGCCUCCCACAGUGUUUAUGAGAUUUUCCAAGACUGGUGCUGCAGUCUAGUGGGAUUUUCCAUAGACCUCCGUUUCUGACACACGUGGGAGUCCAACAUCAGUGCUCCUGGAGCAAGAGACCAGAAGAAGGCCGUAUGAAGAGGGAGUGACUUAAAAGUAACAAGUCAAGCACCAUAACCACUUCAGCCCACUGUAGGGGUGUGGUACUAGGAGUGCCCUGGCGUCUCCCCAGAGCUUACAUUAGCUACGCCCUGCUCUGUGCCAGCAAACUGCAGCCCAUGUGCAAUUUCAGAGUAUACAGAGAAAUAGGAGUUACAAUGACACAGCAGCUGGAGUGAUACAUUCUGAUCAAAAAACAGCAACAUUUAUUGUUUUGACAUUUUUCAUUCAAAUCACAAGACUUAAAUAUCCACUUGCCUCUCCAGUAAUAACAUUUUUUUUUUUUCACACCCCAAAAAAUUCCCUUAAUGUCGCUUUGCUUUGUACAGUAAACAGAGCGAUAAUGUAGGUAACAAGACAAGCUUUGUUCUCGGGAAAGUAGGGCAAGUGUCAGAGCUAACCUGGCAUUCAUCCCAUCAGGAGAGGCGGCUAUAGUGUUUCUGUCCUGGUAUUGGAACCUGAUGCUAGCAGCAGACAAGAUUUGGAAAUCACAAGAGUAAGCCAAGUAUUACAGCACCGUACCAUAAUAAAUCUCGCCGCAACACCUCCUACAUCAUAGACACUGGAACAUUGACACUACAGCUAGGGUUAGACACUGGCUGAGCGUCACAGCAGUUGGAGUUCAUAAACAGAUGUAGCUUCACGUUUAGCCAUCAGCCACAAAUAAUUUGAAAGAUUUUGUCAGGUUUUUGUCCAAGAAUUUCCACCAUGGAUGCAAAUCAAAAUUCAAACACCCACUCUUUGUACCAAGUCAAAAUCUGGGCUUAACCCCUUAAGGACCAAACUUCUGGAAUACAAGGGAAUCAUGAGAUGUCACACGUCAUGUGUCCUUAAGGGGUUAAAACAACAACAACAACAACAACAACAACAACAUCAUAUGAUGUUUUGAUAAGGGGGUUAUUUAGCUAUCUGAGAAUGGACAAGGGAACGUUAAGGGAAUUUUAUGCCAAUCAAGCAGAAUGCGAGGAAAAAAAAAUAAAAAAUAUUCAGCAGUUUUCCCCAUCUUGAUUGUGUUAUCCUAAACUUGCGACCAUGAGUUUUGUCUUGGCGUCUGGGACUUGUGAGCCCAUUCCCGCUGAGGCAGCUGGGCGGCCAGCUGAGAUGAAUACUGUAGGCCGGCGGCGAGGUAGCUGUGACAAAAAGUACUGAUUUGGGAAAAUUCUUCAACCCAACUAUAAAUUACAUAUUGGCUCGUUUAGCCAAAAUGUAGCAAUUUGAUUCAGUUCAUUUUAGAUGGUGUUUAGUGAAACAAAUCCUUCAGUGUCCGUCGCCUGGGUCUUAUAGAAGAACAUGACCCAAGAUAAGUUAAGUAGUGUCUCAAGAAUGAACUGGUUACCUUAUUAAAUCUGUCUGACACGUGGAUUUACAGUCCAAUACGAGCUAAUAAGAAUCUCAACAUGCUGCCUCCUUACCUGUACACAGGUAUUAAAAGAUAUUUUAAGUUAUUUUUUAGUAAUUUACUAUAUUACCAGAAGGAUAUGAAGAUACAAAGCCAACAUCCUGCUAAAAUUAUAACUGCUAAAUGCCUAUUGAUUUGUCGCUAGCCUCCUGGCAUUGUGUGGGUUAAACCCAUUAAAGCCAGCACCUAACUCACUGUUCUACC